GACGAACGCUGGCGGCGUGCCUAAUACAUGCAAGUAGAACGCUGAAGAGAGGAGCUUGCUCUUCUUGGAUGAGUUGCGAACGGGUGAGUAACGCGUAGGUAACCUGCCUUGUAGCGGGGGAUAACUAUUGGAAACGAUAGCUAAUACCGCAUAACAAUGGAUGACACAUGUCAUUUAUUUGAAAGGGGCAAUUGCUCCACUACAAGAUGGACCUGCGUUGUAUUAGCUAGUAGGUGAGGUAAUGGCUCACCUAGGCGACGAUACAUAGCCGACCUGAGAGGGUGGUCCGCCACACUGGGACUGGGACACGGCCCAGACUCCUACGGGAGGCAGCAGUAGGGAAUCUUCGGCAAUGGGGGCAACCCUGACCGAGCAACGCCGCGUGAGUGAAGAAGGUUUUCGGAUCGUAAAGCUCUGUUGUAAGUCAAGAACGGGUGUGAGAGUGGAAAGUUCACACUGUGACGGUAGCUUACCAGAAAGGGACGGCUAACUACGUG
rnacentral:rRNA from 1 species